rnacentral:rRNA from 1 species
UACGUAGGGGCCGAGCGUUGUCCGGAGUUAUUGGGCGUAAAGCGCGCGCAGGCGGCCUCGCGCGCCCGACGUGAAAGCCCCCGGCUUAACCGGGGGAGGGUCGUUGGGGACGGCGGGGCUUGAGGGCGGGAGAGGUCGGUGGAAUUCCCGGUGUAGUGGUGAAAUGCGUAGAGAUCGGGAGGAACACCUGUGGCGAAGGCGGCCGACUGGGCCGACCCUGACGCUGAGGCGCGAAGGCGUGGGGAGCGAACGGG